AUACGUAGGUGACAAGCGUUAUCCGGAUUUAUUGGGUGUAAAGGGCGUGUAGGCGGAGAUGCAAGUCAGGAGUGAAAUCUAGGGGCUCAACCCCUAAACUGCUUUUGAAACUGUAUCCCUUGAGUAUCGUAGAGGCAGGUGGAAUUUCUAGUGUAGCGGUGAAAUGCGUAGAUAUUAGGAGGAAUAACAGUGGCGAAGGGGGCCUGCUGGACGACAACUGACGCUGAGGCGCGAAAGCGUGGGGAGCAAACAGGAUUAGAUGCCCUGGUAGUCCACGCUGUAAACGAUGAAUACUAGGUGUGGGGGGACUGACCCCCUCCGUGCCGCAGUUAACACAAUAAGUAUUCCACCUGGGGAGUACGAUCGCAAGAUUGAAACUCAAAGGAAUUGACGGGG
rnacentral:rRNA from 1 species